GACGAACGCUGGCGGCGUGCUUAACACAUGCAAGUCGAACGGAAAGGCCCUGCUUUUGUGGGGUGCUCGAGUGGCGAACGGGUGAGUAACACGUGAGUAACCUGCCCUUGACUUUGGGAUAACUUCAGGAAACUGGGGCUAAUACCGGAUAGGAGCUCCUGCUGCAUGGUGGGGGUUGGAAAGUUUCGGCGGUUGGGGAUGGACUCGCGGCUUAUCAGCUUGUUGGUGGGGUAGUGGCUUACCAAGGCUUUGACGGGUAGCCGGCCUGAGAGGGUAGCCGGCCACAUUGGGACUGAGAUACGGCCCAGACUCCUACGGGAGGCAGCAGUGGGGAAUAUUGCACAAUGGGCGGAAGCCUGAUGCAGCAACGCCGCGUGCGGGAUGACGGCCUUCGGGUUGUAAACCGCUUUCGCCUGUGACGAAGCGUGAGUGACGGUAAUGGGUAAAGAAGCACCGGCUAACUACGUG
rnacentral:rRNA from 1 species